rnacentral:tRNA from 1 species
AGUAGGGUGGCAGACGUGAUGCAGCAAAUUGUAGCUUUGUUUACGGGAAAAUUUCCCCCUUAUUA